CUAUACAUGCAGUCGAACGAACUCUGGUAUUGAUUGGUGCUUGCAUCAUGAUUUACAUUUGAGUGAGUGGCGAACUGGUGAGUAACACGUGGGAAACCUGCCCAGAAGCGGGGGAUAACACCUGGAAACAGAUGCUAAUACCGCAUAACAACUUGGACCGCAUGGUCCGAGUUUGAAAGAUGGCUUCGGCUAUCACUUUUGGAUGGUCCCGCGGCGUAUUAGCUAGAUGGUGGGGUAACGGCUCACCAUGGCAAUGAUACGUAGCCGACCUGAGAGGGUAAUCGGCCACAUUGGGACUGAGACACGGCCCAAACUCCUACGGGAGGCAGCAGUAGGGAAUCUUCCACAAUGGACGAAAGUCUGAUGGAGCAACGCCGCGUGAGUGAAGAAGGGUUUCGGCUCGUAAAACUCUGUUGUUAAAGAAGAACAUAUCUGAGAGUAACUGUUCAGGUAUUGACGGUAUUUAACCAGAAAGCCACGGCUAACUACGUGCCAGCAGCCGCGGUAAUACGUAGGUGGCAAGCGUUGUCCGGAUUUAUUGGGCGUAAAGCGAGCGCAGGCGGUUUUUUAAGUCUGAUGUGAAAGCCUUCGGCUCAACCGAAGAAGUGCAUCGGAAACUGGGAAACUUGAGUGCAGAAGAGGACAGUGGAACUCCAUGUGUAGCGGUGAAAUGCGUAGAUAUAUGGAAGAACACCAGUGGCGAAGGCGGCUGUCUGGUCUGUAACUGACGCUGAGGCUCGAAAGUAUGGGUAGCAAACAGGAUUAGAUACCCUGGUAGUCCAUACCGUAAACGAUGAAUGCUAAGUGUUGGAGGGUUUCCGCCCUUCAGUGCUGCAGCUAACGCAUUAAGCAUUCCGCCUGGGGGAGUACGGCCGCAAGGCUGAAACUCAAAGGAAUUGACGGGGGCCCGCACAAGCGGUGGAGCAUGUGGUUUAAUUCGAAGCUACGCGAAGAACCUUACCAGGUCUUGACAUACUAUGCAAAUCUAAGAGAUUAGACGUUCCCUUCGGGGACAUGGAUACAGGUGGUGCAUGGUUGUCGUCAGCUCGUGUCGUGAGAUGUUUGGGUUAAGUCCCGCAACGAGCGCAACCCUUAUUAUCAGUUGCCAGCAUUAAGUUGGGCACUCUGGUGAGACUGCCGGUGACAACCCGAGGAGAAGGGGGGGGAAGAACGUCAAAUCUUCAUGGCCCCUUUUGACCGGGGGUACACACGGCUCCCAAAGGAAAGGUGCA
rnacentral:rRNA from 2 species